GCUUUAACACUUCAGAAUAAGAGUUAAGAGAAAACAAUUGCUAGUGUUCAUGUCUGUGAGAAAUAUUUAAAAACAUGGAUCAAAGUGGAUGUUUUGCAUUUAUUCAGUGAAUGUUUGGAAAAAAAAUUGACUCUUUGUUCUCCCAUCUCUAUUGUCUUCACUGUACCUUGACUAUAUCUCAGUCUAAACUCUCAAAUAUUGUGCAUGUAUCACAGCUUGUGUACACCUGUUAAAGUCUGUAGCUUGCUAAAAAUUGGAGUUUAAGUGCUUGAGUUGACAUUACUGAGCUAUUUAUUUAUUUUUGUUAGUGUCCUGUUGUGUAUGUCAAGGCAGAGGAGAACAAAAAUGCUGAGAAGGAUGAUAUUAGUCUCAAGAUUUGUGACCUAAAUCUUGGUAACAAAUCGUCAGGGACCUGUGCACAGAGUACUCUCAGCAGAUACAGAUAUUCAGCAUAAAAAAGGAAUCAAAGGGGACACUCUCAAACCCGGAGAUUAUUUAAGUGAGAAGGCUCAAAUCCAUCUGUUUGAGAAAUCCUGGCAAGCAAUCAAGCCCCCUGCAAUUCUCCCCCACUGCCAUCUCAAAAUUAAAGAAAAGCUAAGGGAAAAGGCGUCAAAGAGUACUUUCCAGUUAAAAAGUCUGCUAAAAAAUCAGAAACAAAAGGACCAUUUCUUAUGACUCAAGCACUGAAACAUAGAAGAAAACACAGAACCACUUCAAUGCAACAAGUCUCGGUUUCAUAGGAUCAUAGGAUUGGAAGAUCCCUCUAGCCCAACCUCCUGCUCAAAGCAGAGGCAGCUCUGCAAUCAAACCAGAUUGCUCAGGCCUGUGGCCAGUUGGGUCUCCAGAUCCUCUGAGGGCACACACUGCAAAAAUUCUCUGGACUGCCUGCACCUUAUCUGACUGUCUUCGCAGAAGAAAAGGUUUUCAUUCAAUAGCUUGUGGGGAGAUAUAU